AGUGAACGCUGGCGGUAGGCCUAACACAUGCAAGUCGAACGGCAGCACAGUAAGGGCUUGCUCUUACGGGUGGCGAGUGGCGGACGGGUGAGGAAUACAUCGGAAUCUACCUUUUCGUGGGGGAUAACGUAGGGAAACUUACGCUAAUACCGCAUACGACCUACGGGUGAAAGCAGGGGAUCUUCGGACCUUGCGCGAUUGAAUGAGCCGAUGUCGGAUUAGCUAGUUGGCGGGGUAAAGGCCCACCAAGGCGACGAUCCGUAGCUGGUCUGAGAGGAUGAUCAGCCACACUGGAACUGAGACACGGUCCAGACUCCUACGGGAGGCAGCAGUGGGGAAUAUUGGACAAAGGGCGCAAGCCUGAUCCAGCCAUACCGCGUGGGUGAAGAAGGCCUUUGGGUUGUAAAGCCCUUUUGUUGGGAAAGAAAAGCAGCAGGUUAAUACCCCGCUGUUCUGACGGUACCCAAAGAAUAAGCACCGGCUAACUUCGUG
rnacentral:rRNA from 1 species